UGGUUCUCACCCAGGAAGACAACAUUGUCUAUGCCUCCCUUUCCCUCUCCAACUUGACCUUGCCAGGAGCAGCUCCUAGCCACACUCUUCAAGGGGGCUCCCCAGAAAAGAGCCUAUAUUCUGUUCUGAAGACCUAAAGAGUGGGGUUGAAAUGAUGAUCUUAGAUUCAACUAUGCUUAGGGCUGGAGGUGUGGCUCAGCGGUAGAGCACUUGCCUAGCACAUGCAAGGACCUGAGUUCGAUCAUCAGCACUACAUAAAAAAUAAA
rnacentral:lncRNA from 1 species